rnacentral:rRNA from 1 species
AGACUUAUUUAUAGGAAGACUCCUUCUUAGAAUUUUCUUAAUUCAACAUCGAGGUCGCAAAAUAUAGUAUAGAUAUGAACUCCCCACUAAAAUUACGCUGUUAUCCCUAAGGUAACUUAAUCUUAUUCUCCACUCUCAAGGAUCUAAAAUAACAUAAACAAAUGAAUUCACAAACUAAAGUUAAUCAUUUAGCCACCACCCCAGCAAAAUAUAAGAUUUACCAUCAAAAAAUAUUAUAAUAAAACUUAACAAUGAAAACUUAUAUAAAGUUCUAUAGGGUCUUAUCGUCCCAAUAAGAUACUAAAGCAUUUUAACUUUAAAUUUAAAUUUUAACAUUUAAAAAAAUAAAAUAUAAUUCUCAUACAUCCAUUCAUUCAAGCUCCCAAUUAAGAAACUAAUUACUAUGCUACCUUUGCACAGUCAAGAUACUGCAGCCAUUUAGAAAUUUUAACCAUAGGGCAGAAGGUACUUUUUAUAAAAACA